rnacentral:lncRNA from 1 species
GCAGAUGCUUUAUCAAAAUUCCUUUUCUCAUUUGGGAUGAUUCGACUCUUCUUUACAUCCAAUGCAGUAGCGGUACACUGAUCACAAUAAAAAAUCUCUACUUUGACCUCGGCCGAAGGCAAGGAGUGUUUGGCCAAAAGACGGCGUUGGAUCGACUCAACAGAAUCCCCCCUAUUACCUCAUCCGGAUAGGGGACCACUGGGAGGGUCCGAUUCGAUGGACCAGCUUCCUCCACCCCGGAGCCAUGAGGAGUUACUUACCCCUUUACACUCACGGGAUAGAUAGAGGAACGAACGGAAUGAGUUGAACUUGAACUUAGAAAAAGAAAAGAUACGGAAUAGGGAUUCGUCUCACUACGUUCAACUCAUUUCGUUUCACUCAAAGCUUGAAAAAGAACAGAAUAGGGAUUCGUUGAACUAUGUUCAACUCAUUCAGUUGAACUCAAAUAGACGUAUCUAACAGGUAUCAACUCAACACCCUAACCGGAAAGGGCAAAAGCAGCGACUUUGCCGUAUCGACUCAUUCUUUCAACCUUAGGGGACUCAAAGAAGUGUACCUGGAGCUUCACUCCUCCGGAAGUCGAAUGAGCGGGAGUGCAGUUGCUCCUCGGAUAGGUCGGGCAGAGCGGCGCCUUUCAGAGAGUCCAUGGCAGAGGUACGAGCGAGAAAGGCGGCCAUCCGUCAUGGAGCAUGGCUGUUCAUGUAAGAAGAAUGGACUUUGAUAGCCACUUUCUAGGCCGGUUAAAGGAUGUAUCUUUCUUUUCCUGCGAGGAGCAACUCUUCUUGGGCUUACCCCCAUCCACUGCUACACCUACGGCUGAACGAACGGAAAGAUACGUAUCUCAGUGAGUGAAUGAGUUGAACAUGUUGUCCCUAUUCCCUAUGUCUUCUAGUCUAAACUCUGAUCCCGGCCUCCACUUCCAAGGGAAAGCAGCAUAACCCAGAACGGAACUUUCUUCCUUGUGAGACCGCCUCCGUCUUCUAGUCUGGUCUUUCCUAUUGGUGUUGUUCCAUCGGGGAUUCAGUGUUCCAUGCAUCGAUACCAGUUCGUCCAUCACCCAUGAGAUAGGGAUCUCGUAGUAAAUCCCUUGUUUCCUUAGUCAAUGAAUGCUCUGCUUCUGCGCCUCUUCAUACUUUUCGCUAGCUAAGCGAGCCCUUCUUGGGAGACCUCUAGAUCCCUGCCCUGCGUGUUCCAUUCUAGCUACCGGGGUGUUCUUUUUCUUCUCAUACGAGAUUUCUAAAUCGGAUUCUAUCUCCACUGAAGGGGAACUAAUCCAACUAUGGAUUUCUCUUCUACUUAGCUAAACGAAUAGGGUCAUCGCCGACACCUGUAGUAAUCAACUGCUUUUUUUCUUUUAGGCUAGCCUAUCUAAAGAGUGAAACUCGUACCUCCAAAGCAGCUCCGAAGCAACUCGUAUCAGGCCAACAUGGGAUUGGCCCAAUAGAAAAAUCGCACGAGAACCAACCCUCAUUCUGAAUUUGAAAGUGAUCACUUAGUAAGUUUCCAUACCAAGGCUCAAUCCAAUUAAGUCCGUAGCGUCUACCGAUUUCGCC